UAAGCGCAAGCGGUAGGAGAGCGUUCUAUUUGCGUCGAAGGUAUACCGGCAAGGAGUGCUGGAGCGGAUAGAAGUGAGCAUGCAGGCAUGAGUAGCGAUAAUUAAUGUGAGAAUCAUUAACGCCGUAAACCCAAGGUUUCCUACGCGAUGCUCGUCAUCGUAGGGUUAGUCGGGUCCUAAGCUGAGUCCGAAAGGGGUAAGCGAUGGAAAAUAGGUUAAUAUUCCUAUACCAACAUUAGUGUGCGAUGGAAGGACGCUUAGGGCUAGGGGGGCUAGCGGAUGGAAGUGCUAGUCUAAGGUUGUAGGUGCUUACACAGGCAAAUCCGUGUGAGAAUACACCGAGAACUCAAAGGCUUUUCAAAGUCUUCGGAUAGCGAGAAGAACCCCUGAUGCCGUCGAGCCAAGAAAAGUUUCUAAGUUUAGCUAAUGUUGCCCGUACCGUAAACCGACACAGGUGGGUGGGAUGAGUAUUCUAAGGCGCGUGGAAGAACUCUCUUUAAGGAACUCUGCAAAAUAGCACCGUAUCUUCGGUAUAAGGUGUGCCUCCCUUUGUAUUAGAAUUUACUUCGAAAGCAAAGAAGGUUACAACAAAGAGUCCCUCCCGACUGUUUACCAAAAACACAGCACUCUGCUAACUCGCAAGAGGAUGUAUAGGGUGUGACGCCUGCCCGGUGCUCGAAGGUUAAUUGAUGGGGUUAGCAUUAGCGAAGCUCUUGAUCGAAGCCCGAGUAAACGGCGGCCGUAACUAUAACGGUCCUAAGGUAGCGAAAUUCCUUGUCGGUUAAAUACCGACCUGCAUGAAUGGCGUAACGAGAUGGGAGCUGUCUCAAAGAGGGAUCCAGUGAAAUUGUAGUGGAGGUGAAAAUUCCUCCUACCCGCGGCAAGACGGAAAGACCCCGUGGACCUUUACUACAGCUUGACACUGCUACUUGGAUAAGAAUGUGCAGGAUAGGUGGGAGGCUUUGAGUAUAUGACGCCAGUUGUAUAUGAGCCAUUGUUGAGAUACCACUCUUUCUUAUUUGGGUAGCUAACCAGCUUGAGUUAUCCUCAAGUGGGACAAUGUCUGGUGGGUAGUUUGACUGGGGCGGUCGCCUCCCAAAUAAUAACGGAGGCUUACAAAGGUUGGCUCAAAACGGUUGGAAAUCGUUUGUAGAGUAUAAAGGUAUAAGCCAGCUUAACUGCAAGACAUACAAGUCAAGCAGGGACGAAAGUCGGUCUUAGUGAUCCGGUGGUUCUGUGUGGAAGGGCCAUCGCUCAAAGGAUAAAAGGUACCCCGGGGAUAACAGGCUGAUCUCCCCCAAGAGCUCACAUCGACGGGGAGGUUUGGCACCUCGAUGUCGGCUCAUCGCAUCCUGGGGCUGGAGCAGGUCCCAAGGGUAUGGCUGUUCGCCAUUUAAAGCGGUACGCGAGCUGGGUUCAGAACGUCGUGAGACAGUUCGGUCCCUAUCUGCCGUGGGCGUAAGAAGAUUGAAGAGAUUUGACCCUAGUACGAGAGGACCGGGUUGAACAAACCACUGGUGUAGCUGUUGUUCUGCCAAGAGCAUCGCAGCGUAGCUAAGUUUGGAAAGGAUAAACGCUGAAAGCAUCUAAGCGUGAAGCCAACUCUAAGAUGAAUCUUCUCUAAGCUCUCUAGAAGACGACUAGUUUGAUAGGCUGGGUGUGUAAUAGAUGAAAGUCUUUUAGCUGACCAGUACUAAUAGAGCGUUUGGCUUACUUUUAUAAAGCAU
rnacentral:rRNA from 1 species